UACGUAGGGUGCAAGCGUUGUCCGGAAUUAUUGGGCGUAAAGAGCUCGUAGGCGGUGUGUCACGUCGUUCGUGAAAACCUGCAGCUUAACUGUGGGCGUGCGGUCGAUACGGGCAUCACUGGAGUUCGGCAGGGGAGACUGGAAUUCCUGGUGUAGCGGUGAAAUGCGCAGAUAUCGGGAAGAACACCCGUGGCGAAGGCGGCUCUCUGGGACGGUACUGACGCUGAGACGCGAAAGCGUGGGGAGCGAACAGG
rnacentral:rRNA from 1 species